UGCAUGUGUUAAAGCUAUAAGGUUACGGAGCAGAAUGGCUGAUACGUCUCAGUGCUCAGUGCUAAUAUGCACAAAAAAUGUAUUUAUGGUAAUGACACGGACUGUCUGAAACAAUGCAUUCCAACAUCCUGUAACAUAAAUAACAAAGGUGGAGCCAGCUGGCAUUAAACUGUUUAUUUGCCAGCAGUCCAGAUCUGCACUAUGUACCUUUUUUACACUGUCUCAGUCUGGCAGUAUUGAACCUGUUGCUGCAUUAGCCGAGUUGUAUUUUGCUAGAUAGGGGAAGGAGGGUUGUCUGCUGUCUGGUAGGAGGGCUUUGUCUGUGUGUGCCUUUCUCUCUCUCUCCCUCUCUCUCUCUGUCUCUGUCUCUCAUACUCCCGCUUGCUCUCCCUCUGGCUCUCUCUCUCUCUCCCUCGCUCUCUCUCCCUUUCCCGUCUCUGUGGUUUGUAAGGUAGGUUGCAGUGUGUGUAUAUACACAACAUCAAGAGCAGGAAAAUGGACUCAUUAGGGAGGCAGGCAGUCAUUACCACUCACACUGUACUUCCAGGGAGACAGCGACUAUGAGGAGACAAACUGAGGACUGGGGAACAAGGGUUUACCGCUCCAACCCUGCAGCACAGAGAAACUGACGGUCGACCAAAGUGAAACUGACUUCAUUGAUUUGACCGUCUGGCCCAAGAAAACCCAAAGUAAACAAACAGCAUCCACAGUGAAAAAUGCAUCCAAUUUUUUAAUAUUCUCUUACCUGGACUAUUCCAAAAUUUUAUUUGUACAAAGUAUUGUUUUGAAUUUUUUUAAAGGUGGUCAAAUCUC